UACGUAGGGACCGAGCGUUGUCCGGAUUCAUUGGGCGUAAAGAGCUCGUAGGCGGCUAUUCAAGUCGAACGUGAAAUCUCGGAGCUCAACUCCGAAACUGCGUUCGAUACUGGGUAGCUAGAGUCUGGUAGGGGGAUCUGGAAUUCCUGGUGUAGCGGUGAAAUGCGCAGAUAUCAGGAGGAACACCGGUGGCGAAGGCGGGUCUCUGGACAGUUCCUGACACUGAGGCACGAAGGUCAGGGGAGCAAACGGG
rnacentral:rRNA from 1 species